GUCUCUGUAGCGCAGUGGAUAGCGCGUUGGACCUAUAAUCCAAAGGUCGUGGGUUCGAAUCCCUCGGGAUGACC